AUACUCACAAAGUGGAUGUGAAAUGUUGAUAGUAGAAUUCGUAUCACAGCCAGCUUUGAUGAGCUUAG
rnacentral:pre_miRNA from 1 species